GGAAAGGAUCAGAGAGGAGGCAGAGAUAAAAGUGAGAGCGAAGUGAGUGGAAGAGACAGAAGGAAAGAGCAAGAGGUAAAUAGAAAGGGAAAGAAAGAGAGAGAGAGAGAGAGAAGAGAGAGAGGGGAAAGAGAGAGGUAAAUAGAAAGGGGAAGAAAGAGAGAGAGAGAAGAGAGAGAGGGGAAAGAGAGGUAAACAGAAAGGGAAAAAAGAGAGAGAGAGAGAAGAGAGAGAGGGGAAAGAGAGAGGUAAAUAGAAAGGGAAAGAAAGAGAGAGAGAAGAGAGAGAAGGGAAAGAGAGAGGUAAACAGAAAGGGAAAAAAGAGAGAGAAGAGAGAGAGAGAGAAGAGAGGGGAAAGAGAGAGGUAAAUAGAAAGGUGAAGAAAGAGAGAGAGAGAGAGAGAGAGAGAGGGGAAAGAGAGAGGUAAAUGGAAAGGGGAAGAAAGAGAGAGCGAGAGAAGAGAGAGAGGGGAAAGAGAGAGGUAAAUAGAAAGGGGAAGAGAGAGAAGAGCGAGAGGGGAAAGAGAGAGGUAAAUAGAAAGGGGAAGAAAGAGAGAGAGAGAGAGAGAGAGGGGAAAGAGAGAGGUAAAUAGAAAAGGGAAGAAAGAGAGAGAGAGAGAAUGAGGGGAAAGCUAAAAUAGCUAAAACAGAUUCGGAGAAGAAGUUUUACGUGCCCCCAACCAAUUGUAUUUUUUGUUCUUUUAUGUGUGUUUUUUGUAACUUAUUUUGUACAUAAUGUUGCCACUACCAUCACUUAGGAUCAAAAAUAACUUCUGGACAUCAGGACUGCUAUUACUCACCACGGACUGGAUGAAUAAUUUUUUUCCUUUAACGAGUCUGACGAGCGCGACAAACAAUAUAGUGCUUUCCCGGGAACAGGCCCAGAUCCCCGUGAUGUGCGUGAAGACGAGGCGUAGAAAAAGGGGCCUGAGGGCGGGCUGCCUUCUGAGAACUUGUAGGCGAUCGAAUAAACCCCCACUUCCUUCCAUUCUGCUAGCAAACGUGAAAUCUUUGGACAAUAAAAUAGAUGACCUACGCAGAAGAUUAAUCUACCAACGGGACAUUCAAAACUGUAAUAUCUUAUGCUUCACGGAGUCGUGGCUGAACGACGACACUAUCAACAUAUAGCUGGCUGGUUAUACACUGCACUGGCAGGAUAGAACAAUGGCGUCUG
rnacentral:lncRNA from 1 species